CCUACGGGGGGCAGCAGUGAGGAAUAUUGGUCAAUGGACGAGAGUCUGAACCAGCCAAGUAGCGUGAAGGAUGACUGCCCUAUGGGUUGUAAACUUCUUUUAUAUGGGAAUAAAACGUUCCACGUGUGGGAUUUUGUAUGUACCAUAUGAAUAAGGAUCGGCUAACUCCGUGCCAGCAGCCGCGGUAAUACGGAGGAUCCGAGCGUUAUCCGGAUUUAUUGGGUUUAAAGGGAGCGUAGGUGGAUUGUUAAGUCAGUUGUGAAAGUUUGCGGCUCAACCGUAAAAUUGCAGUUGAAACUGGCAGUCUUGAGUACAGUAGAGGUGGGCGGAAUUCGUGGUGUAGCGGUGAAAUGCUUAGAUAUCUCGAAGAACUCCGAUUGCGAUGGCAGUUCACUGGACUGCAACUGACACUGAGGCUCGAAAGUGUGGGUAUCAAACAGGAUUAGAUACCCGUGUAGUC
rnacentral:rRNA from 1 species